rnacentral:rRNA from 1 species
UACGUAGGGCGCAAGCGUUAUCCGGAAUUAUUGGGCGUAAAGAGCUCGUAGGCGGUUUGUCGCGUCUGCCGUGAAAGUCCGGGGCUCAACUCCGGAUCUGCGGUGGGUACGGGCAGACUAGAGUGCAGUAGGGGAGACUGGAAUUCCUGGUGUAGCGGUGAAAUGCGCAGAUAUCAGGAGGAACACCGAUGGCGAAGGCAGGUCUCUGGGCUGUAACUGACGCUGAGGAGCGAAAGCAUGGGGAGCGAACGGG